rnacentral:lncRNA from 1 species
UGAAGAGAAGGGUUUACUUUAAGGCCAAGGAUGGGGAAGGUCUGAGUAGCUUGUACACAGGAAGAAUUAAGUGCUGCUCUGUGCUCAGUGCGGUUGUGGAGGGAGCAGCUGGCUGCACUGGUCCAUGGCUGGGUUUGGCAGGAGCGAGAACACCAGCCCGGAGCAGACACAGCAUUCCUGGGGCAGGACUGCCCCGCAUGUCACAUCACGAAGCCCAGUGCCCGGCACACACACAGGUGUCCUGAACUCCGAUUUGGCAAACAGGGAACCUGAGGGCCAGCAAGUUUAGCUGAGGGGCCCAGGGCACUCUUCUUAGGGACAGGAGGUGCCAGGAUUUCAACACGGGGUGUUUACCCCCAAAGCCCGACCGAAUGGCUUGGGUGCAUCCUUGGAGGGGCGCCUGGCCCCCCGGCUGGCCAGCUGCUGGGGGCUCCUGGGCCGCCGUGAUGUGCACUUGGCUGCUCUUCUCUGCCCAAGCCCAGCAGAGGCUGCAGACCACGGCCAAGGGCGGCUGCCCAUCCAAGGGGCAGAGUCGGGACCUCAUGAGCUGGCAGGGGGCUGGGCUCCAGGUCCUGGAGCUGCUCCCAACUCCCAGGGGGACCUCAGUUUCAGCUGUGGCCAGACUCCCCACUUGCUGUGGACACAGAGCUGGGCAGGACCAGAGGGAUUAUCUGUUCAACCCUUCAUUUCACAGCUGGAGAAACAGGCUCAGAGAGGCAAAGGGGCUCGGCCAAGGUCACACAUUCAAGUAAGAGCAGUGGAGAUUCUGCCCCAGCCCUGGUCCUCUAAUCUAAUCCAUCAGCCCAUAGGAACCGAGCAGCCAUCCCCACGCACACGUGGGACCAGAGCCACUGACCCUGAGAGCCAGCAGGGCUUCCAGGCAACCCUCCCUCCCCGCCCCUCCUGAUUCCAAGCUCUGGAGACAAAAGAGCAGAGGUGAGGUGAGCACCCCAAUGUCACGGGCCAGGCAGCGCCCAGGGGGACGAGAACCCAGGGCUCCAGACUCCACCCUGGCUGCUUCCACCACACCCCCGUCCCCACCCUAGGCACCCUCAGCUCUCCAGCCACUCUGGACACAGCCCUGCAUGUCUCUAUGGCUGUGUGCGCCUCCUCCAUGGGGCCACAUCUGCGUCUGAUUGAAUAAACACCUGGGGGGACGACCAGUGAUCCCCUAAAUAGCACGCACCUGUGGGAUGAGGAGCGGCCAUCCCUUCCAUCCCCAUCAGCUCAGCCUCGACACCAGGAACUCGACAGCAUCCUUCACACUCAGGAAAUGUCGUCUCUGAGAACGAACCGCAUUUUCUGUAGUUAACGCGUAACAACUAGUCCUAUAAAUCUGAAUUAUCCCUGUAAAUCUAAAUGAAGCUCCCAGACUUAAAUGUAUUUAGGACACUUCAUUAAUAAACUG